UUUCGUCUUUGUUCUGUUCUUCAACGACGCCAAUCUGUCUUUGCUUCACCGCCAUUCUUUUUCAAUUGUGUCAGCAGUUAUUCAAAGAAAUUCAUGAGGUGAUGCAGCGAAAUUUUUGUAAGUGAAAACUGAAAUUAACUUACUCUUUCAUCUUGGAUCUCAUCCCGAUAACUUAUCAGGUUAGCCAUUCUUGCUAAUUGUUUUCUCGUUUGUGGACUUACCUUCAUCAUCUUGGUUUGGUCUCAUCCCAUCACAGUUCAUAGGUCACAGUUCAUCGGUCACAGUCAUCAGUCAAUCCGAUCACUUAUCAGUUCAUAGGUCACAGUUCAUCGGUCACAGUCAUCAGUCAAUCCGAUCACUUAUCAGAGAAGCUUACAACACUCGAGGAAUUGUAAAACUUAAUCAUGGAGUAAAGGAUAACAAGAUGUUAUGUAAGAAAAUUUUUGAUAAAAUCAACGAACUUGAGAAAAAGCUGAAAACAUCCCAAACCACAACAAACGAAAGCGAUGAGGAGGACGAUGACUUCCCAAUUUGAAACAUGGAUGAUUUCGAUUCAGUUAACUUGAAACUUCAAAACAAAACAACUCGUAAACAACUG
rnacentral:lncRNA from 1 species